CUACGGGCUGCUGCAGUGAGGAAUAUUGCACAAUGGGGGGAACCCUGAUGCAGCAACGCCGCGUGGAGGAUGACGCAUUUCGGUGUGUAAACUCCUUUUAUAUGUCAAGAAAAUGACGGUAGCAUAUGAAUAAGCACCGGCUAACUCCGUGCCAGCAGCCGCGGUAAUAUGGAGGGUGCAAGCGUUACUCGGAAUCACUGGGCGUAAAGGACGCGUAGGCGGGUUGGAAAGUCAGGUGUGAAAUCCUACAGCUUAACUGUAGAACUGCACUUGAAACUUCUAAUCUAGAGUAUGGGAGGGGGAGAUGGAAUUAGUGGUGUAGGGGUAAUAUCCGUAGAUAUCACUAGGAAUACCUAAAGCGAAGGCGAUCUCCUGGAACAUUACUGACGCUAAGGCGUGAAAGCGUGGGGAGCAAACAGGAUUAGAUACCCUGGUAGUC
rnacentral:rRNA from 1 species